rnacentral:ncRNA from 1 species
AUAAAAGCAAUGAAAAGAAUAAGUAAAAAUUAGAUUAACCAAACAGAAAGUUACCGGGUGAUGAGAGGUGCAUGGAAACUAAUUUUGAAUACAUCUUAGAGCUUCAAGCUGAAAAAGAAUUAUCUAGAGUAGGUGAUGACGGAACCCUGCACCCGUUAUAGUGCUAAAGUAUAACCAAGUUUCUUGGCGUACUUGAAGAGGUUAAUCGUGUGAGCGAUUAAUGAAAUUAAGGUGGUAACACGAGAGUAUACUCUUGUCCUUUAU